AUUAAGAUUAUAUGAAACAAAAUUAUCUCCUGGUAUAUUGCGGGUUAAAUCUUAGUACUAACAUAAAUGUGGGAAAAAAAAAAAAACCAGGUUUGUGAAAGGAAGAAGCUUAAUUAGUCGGUUUAAUCUCUUGGAAUGCCUUCCAUUUCGGUUAUUGUAUAAUUGGUAUUGGUACGACAAAAUCUGGUAAUUGUAAGGCAUUUUGCCAUUUCUAAAAACCUAAUCAAUCAAACACAAAUUAUCUUCAUCUCUUUCUCUCUCUCGUGUUCAUCAUUGAAUCCCAGAUUUUCCAUUAUUCUUCAACAAUUGUUGCGAAUUUUGGGAUUGGCUGAAGCAAUUCCGAUUGCACAACAAUGGCUUCUCGUAUCAUCAUCAAUCAUUCCAAAAAGGUUGAUGAAUAUGGACUUCAUUAUAUCAUACUUUUUUAACAUGGACCAUUUAAAGAUCAAGUUAUCAUAAUUUCAACAAACACACGAAGAUGAAGCUGUCAACUCAAAGAGUAAUCUUUGCCCCCUAAGACAUAAAACAUAUCAAGUUAGUUAAUAAGAAAAAGGAUCUUAAACUUGGACGCACCAUGCGGCUUUGUAAGGUCUCAAAUAUCAAAUCUCUGAGAUUGGAAUAUGAAGCAGCCACUGAUUCUAGAAAGGCUUCUCUUAUCGUGUUUAAAGGUAAACGUUGUGGUGAUGUGAUAAUUUUUUCUGUUAGCGAAAACAUAUUUAUAGAUGUCAUAGUCUCUUGGCGUUAGGUUAGAGAAUUUAAGAAAAUCGUGUGGAGAAAGUAUAGGAUAUCUUCACAAAUCUUUGAUUCGAUAAUAUAUAGAAUAUGCUUUGUAGAAUAUGCUUUGUAGAUGCUUCAUCAAAAUUAAGAACAAAUCGUUUGAUUUAUGCUAUAUUUCCCAUUGAUGUUA